rnacentral:lncRNA from 1 species
CAAAAACCCCUUAUAUACAUUUUAAAAAGUACAUAUUUCUAUCCUCGCAGCGGAGGGCAUGACAGAGGUAAAAAUAGUAAUCUAGACCAAAACUAUUGCCCACUGAGGCACCAAGAAAUGGGGAAGAGAUUUUCAUACAUCAGGACCUCCACAUGCAAGCAAGGGAUGCGUACUAAAUGGAAAAACACAAUGUAGAAACACAUUGUACAUAUACAGGUUUCGAAAGUAUAUAUCCUGCCCUUAGUCCCUUUCCACCCCUGCCCCCACCAAACUUCAAAAGCUCAAACUUCUGUCAAAUUAUUGCCUACAUAUAAAAGGGGGAGGGGAGGAGACUGCUGCACAUACAGAACUGCAUGGUUCACUAGCAACCCAUACGUCCAAGUGAAGGACUGGUACCCAUGAAAUAUAUAUAUUCAUGUUUUUACUUAUUAUUAUAUUUAAAAAGUACCCCCAUCCCCCAAAAGAAGGGCUGAAACUAAUUAGCUAAGCCUCUAGCCAUUGCCCACACGUGCAACAAGGGAAAGGGAUGAGAGGAGACUGUUAUACAUCCGGACUCCUGUGUCUCAUUAGGUACCUUCCAGUCUGGGCACCCAAUGAAAGGAUUCAACAUAGUAUAAAAGCAGGAAUAUACAAGAAGCAAGUACACAGCCCUGCCUGCCACCCGCCCCCCUCCGCCCCCAAACCACACUCCAGCAACUACUCUACUAGCCAUUGCCCCAUGGGCAACACAGGAAGGGGACAAGAGGAGACUGUCAUACAUGCGGACCUCCAUGUCUCAUUAGGUACUUUCAUGUCCUAUGAGAAGGACAUAGUACCAAAUGGAUUUGUUAUAAUACAAAAGUAGUAGAUUUAUUUAUAUACAGUAAGUACAUACCCCACUCUCUCCCACACCAUAAAAACAAACUAGCUAUUGCCCAAAGAGGCAAGGAGGAAAAGGGAAAAGAUGUGUCAUACUCUGAAGCUCAGUUUUCAUUUAGUACAUGUGCAUUCAUGCAAAGGAACACAUAUAAAAUGAAAUAUUACAAAGUAGCUUAAUAUUUAUAUAAUUUAUGUACAUUUGAAAGAAGGCUAUACAACACUCCCCCCACCCCCCAUCUCCUCAAGACUCGAUUAGAUCAGAAUAAACUACAACUACUCGGUAAUGUCCACAUGGUCAACAGGAAGAAGGGUAAAGGGGACAUUUGUCAUACUUUUGGACCUUUAUGGUUCACUAGAUAUCUACUUACCCAUGAGAAGGAUGAAAUACAACAUCAAACAACACCCACAAAAUAGCAGUGCAUUUGUACACAUUUUUAAAAAGAACACACUCUGCUCUUACCCCAAUAUUACCAUCUUCCAAAAAAAGGAAAUCAAAUAA